CCUACGGGUGGCAGCAGUGGGGAAUAUUGGGCAAUGGGCGCAAGCCUGACCCAGCGACGCCGCGUGAGGGAAGACGGCCCUCGGAGUGGAAACCUCCUUCAGCAGGGAAGCAAAAAGGACGGCACCUGCAGUAGAAGCCAUGGCUAACUACGUGCCAGCAGCCUCCGCAAUACGGAGGGUGCAAGCGUUAUCCGGAAUUACGGGGUGUAAAGGGUUUGUAGGCGGGUUGGGAAGGCAGAUGUGAAAAUUAUGGGCUCAACCCAUAACCUGCGUAUGAAACUGCAGAUCUUGAGAGUGGGAGAGGUAAGCGGAAUGCGCGGUGUAGCGGUGAAAUGCGUAGAUAUCGGGAGGAACACCAGUGGCGAAGGCAGUUUACUGGACCACAACUGACGCUGAGGCACGAAAGCGUGGGGAGCAAACAGGAUUAGAUACCCGUGUAGUC
rnacentral:rRNA from 1 species